UUAGUUUUAUUUUUACACCUGGAGCUCAGGGCACUGCCUUUCCCUGCCCAAACCUUCCCUGUCUGAUCCGGGCUGGUUCCCUGCAGGCAGCCCCAGCUCCUGCUGCAGGACUCGCCGUGCCCACAAGAGGAUGCUGGUGCUGUUUGGAAGCAUCCCCACUGCCAGUUUUUUCAUUUUUUUCCAAUAAUAUCACUCUCAAAAAUUAACAAUUAAAAAAAAGGCAAGGAAGAAGUUGUUUGCCCCCAGCUGCGGGAGGGGCUGUGCCCUUUCCAGGUGGGGGUUAACUGGGGGGUGGGACAGGGGAGCCCUGCAGGGGUCUUCAAGGACACAGCCCCCAUGAGGGAAAUGCUUCAGGACCCGGAGAAAAAGCCAAAAUGCUCCUGUGCAGAGAGGGAAUUGGCUUUGGGGUGAGCGAACGAGAGCAGAUGGAAAUGCAUUGCCUGUAAAUGGGAGAGGCAGAGGUCUGCAGAGCCAGGAGCUUCACCCUGUGAGGAGCCCGGCUGGGUGUGAAAAAGGGUCUCAGUGCAAGCUGAGCCUGAAGAACGGAGAGGAGAUAACCCACGGGUACUAAUCCAGGCUUCAAAGGCUCGCUCUGCCAAGUGAUCCCCUCUAAUGCUGCCUGAUCUUUGUCAACCAGCGGUGCUGGAACAAGAUGUUCCCAGCACCCGUGUCAGAAGCACAGCACCGAGCAUCCAGAUACCAAGCCUGAUCUUGCCAUCACCCCCACAUCCUGCCAAAUCACCUCCAGCCAUCACCUCCUGCCUGACCCAGCCCCUUGCUUACACCUUGCAGCCUCCCCAAAAGCCUUCUCUGUGCAGAUGGACGCACCAAAAAGCAAAGCCAGAGACGUGCAGGAGUUUGCAGACAUCCUUUGCUGGGAAGGAGGCACAUGUGAGCUGCGUGGUGCCUGAGGAAUGAGAUUAGACCCGAUAGGAAUCACAUUGCAGGAUCCAGGCUUCUAUCUGCCGCUGAUGCGAUGUUUAUUUCAGCGAGGCACAUGUUUCCUCCGGGAAGGAAUUAGAUGCAGACUAAUCUCUAAACCUGAUGCUUCCCUGGGAGGUUGGGAGCUCUGCAAACUGCUCCGGGGCCAGGAGAGGUGGUUGUGCACAGGGCACAGACAGAUCUCUUGCAUUUUUUUUUUUUACUCAGCCUUUCCUCUUGCAAUAUCCUGCAGUUAUCAGGGUCCUCACUGCCUAGAGGUUGCCAGGUUUGAGGCUGUCCCAGGUACAUCCCCCAUGGGGAUGGGGACACUGGUGUAGGGAUGCACAGAGCGUGGUUGCAUCCUGGUUAGGGGCUGGAGGGGACUGGCAAACCCCUGGGCAGAGGUAACCCGUGUGGACGGCUGCUUUCUGCCUGAACACCUCUCCCUAGCAGGCAUCCCCUUGGAUCCAGAGAUGUCCAGGUGAAAAACCCACUUGUAGACAACAUUCUGAUGCUUUUUCCCCCUUCUGACCACAUCUUGAGCCCCUUAAAUCGGGACGCGUUGUUGGCAGGUUGUUAUCCAGCUGCGUUUUUCCACUCCUGGUUAGAAAAUGAGGCGGCAAAACACCUUCUCUUUGUGCCAGCCAGCCAGCCUUGUGCCCCCCACACCAUCUCCUGUCACCAGCUGGGUUCAGCAGUCUCCGGGAAGCCUCGUGCCGUUUCGGCAGUGCUGGCGCUGACCUUUCCAUAAAGAGGGAAGGAGCGAGCGGGGAAGCAGCUGUCUCGCGCUCUGCUCCCCAAAGCAGGGGGAAAGCAGCCGCCUCCACAGAGCAUCUCAGCCUGAAUGGGAGAGCCAAAGCCUGGGGUUAAUCAUCCAGGCUGGGCAUUGACGGAGCAUCUCGAUGCACGUAAGAGCUCUUCAGGAGCAGCGUAAUUUCUCUGCAUGCGCACCACUCACAAGAAAACAGCUCCCCGGAGCUGGUUGCAAUAACAGGAUUGUCUUCUGAAGAGAAAUCAGACAGCCAGAGGGCUUUGGAAAGGGCAGUGCAGAGGCUUUUAAUGUUUGUCUUCCUUCUAAAAUAAAGAUGAUGUUUACCACUUGCCUCCUUUUCCCUCGCCCAUGCAAAACAGAUGUUGCCGAGCAAAAGGCGACCGCGCCGAACUAAUUGAAGUUCUGCAUCCAGUGAAUGCUCGGGGAGGGGGCUCUGGGGAGGGCAGCGUCCCAGCAUGGCACUGAGCU